rnacentral:rRNA from 1 species
CCGAGGGGUAACAGGGGAGCUUGCUUCCGCUGACGACCGGCGCACGGGUGCGUAACGCGUAUACAAUCUACCUUCUACAGGAGGAUAGCCCGAAGAAAUUCGGAUUAAUACUCCAUAAUGUGAGCGAAUCGCAUGAUUUGCUCAUUAAAGCUCCGGCGGUAGGAGAUGAGUAUGCGUGACAUUAGCUAGUUGGUAGGGUAACGGCUUACCAAGGCUACGAUGUCUAGGGGAUCUGAGAGGAUGAUCCCCCACACUGGUACUGAGACACGGACCAGACUCCUACGGGAGGCAGCAGUAAGGAAUAUUGCGCAAUGGAGGCAACUCUGACGCAGCCAUGCCGCGUGAAGGAAGAAGGCUUUAUGAGUCGUAAACUUCUUUUAUAGGAAUAAACCCACCCUCGUGAGGGUGGCU